rnacentral:rRNA from 1 species
UAACACGUGGGCAACCUGCCCUGUAGACGGGGAUAACACCGAGAAAUCGGUGCUAAUACCGGAUAACACGAAAUGUCGCAUGACGUUUCGUUGAAAGACGGCGUAAGCUGUCGCUACAGGAUGGGCCCGCGGCGCAUUAGCUAGUUGGUGAGGUAACGGCUCACCAAGGCGACGAUGCGUAGCCGACCUGAGAGGGUGAUCGGCCACACUGGGACUGAGACACGGCCCAG